AAUGCUUUGGAAACACGUUUCUGUGGAAAACAGACGGCUAGAUCUCCGUUGUGUUUCGUCGAAUAAAGAAAACAAUAUGGGGUUUUAACAUGAGUGACAAAAUAAUCACAAUUUCUUUUUCCCCCCUCAACACAGGCUCGCUGGAAAAACGUGACUGUGGCGACAUUUCUGCGUAAUAAUAUGACAUUUCUUUUUGCAUGUUUCGCGGCACUUUCGAUUUGAAACGUCCAGUAAGUGGCGCUAAAACCUUCCAGUAUUAUCCCAAACAGAGAAACGUGUAUGUGGAAACCUUUUAUUAAGUUGGAUGUUGUGUGUAUCGCCGCAGUUCGGAUAUGAAAUGUCUGGACAUGACAUCACUCGCCGGGGUCACGGCCCGCCACUGACUCCACGACGGAAAAAAAGGAAAGGGGGAGAGAUGAAGACGAGAAAAGAAAGACUUGGGAAGUGGUGCUCUGUAGGUCACCUUGCCUGGCUGAGAGAUCAAUGUCGCUUUGACUCGCUGGUUAAAGAGAGAGAGCACGAGAGACUGCAGCCGAGACACCUUGCCAGUAAAUCACCUUGCCAGCUUCAUUGAGAUGCAGGUUUACAGAGGCAGAGAGGGGUCGGGGAUGAUGGACGCACAUGGCAGGGACAUAAACUCCCUCCUCUAAAUCACUCUAAAUGGAAAUGUUUAGCGUGGAGAGAUGCAGAUGAGCUCGGAUCCAACAGCACAGAGCUGCUUUCUCUGCCUCACAAUGAAAAAUGCCUGCGACGCUUCAACACCACAGUGUACAAAACACAAAAUGUCUGGAAAACGUUGUAAGGAACUUUUUUAUAUGUUAGAUAACACAUGGCCUUGAUUAUCAGUUAAAUAUUUUAA